CCUACGGGAGACAGCAGUGGGGGAUAUUGCACAAUGGGGGAAACCCUGAUGCAGCGCCGCCGCGUGGGUGAAGAAGCGCCUCGGCGCGUAAAGCCCUGUCAGCAGGGAAGAAAAUGACGGUACCUGCAGAAGACGCCCCGGCUAACUACGUUCCAGCAGCCGCGGUAAUACGUAGGGGGCAAGCGUUAUCCGGAUUUACUGGGUGUAACGGGGGCGCAGACGGCGAUGCAAGCCAGGAGUGAAAGCCCGGGGCACAACCCCGGGACUGCUCUUGGAACUGCGUGGCUAGAGUGCAGGAGGGGCAGGCGGAAUUCCUGGUGUAGCGGUGAAAUGCGUAGAUAUCAGGAGGAACACCGGUGGCGAAGGCGGCCUGCUGGACUGCAACUGACGUUGAGGCCCGAAAGCGUGGGGAGCAAACAGGAUUAGAUACCCGGGUAGUC
rnacentral:rRNA from 1 species